AUUGAACGCUGGCGGCAGGCCUAACACAUGCAAGUCGAGCGGAUGAAGGGAGCUUGCUCCUGGAUUCAGCGGCGGACGGGUGAGUAAUGCCUAGGAAUCUGCCUGGUAGUGGGGGAUAACGUCCGGAAACGGGCGCUAAUACCGCAUACGUCCUGAGGGAGAAAGUGGGGGAUCUUCGGACCUCACGCUAUCAGAUGAGCCUAGGUCGGAUUAGCUAGUUGGUGGGGUAAAGGCCUACCAAGGCGACGAUCCGUAACUGGUCUGAGAGGAUGAUCAGUCACACUGGAACUGAGACACGGUCCAGACUCCUACGGGAGGCAGCAGUGGGGAAUAUUGGACAAUGGGCGAAAGCCUGAUCCAGCCAUGCCGCGUGUGUGAAGAAGGUCUUCGGAUUGUAAAGCACUUUAAGUUGGGAGGAAGGGCAGUAAGUUAAUACCCUGCUGUUUAGACGUUACCAACAGAAUAAGCACCGGCUAACUUCGUG
rnacentral:rRNA from 1 species